UUGUGGGGUGCUCGAGUGGCGAACGGGUGAGUAACACGUGAGUAACCUGCCCUUGACUUUGGGAUAACUUCAGGAAACUGGGGCUAAUACCGGAUAGGAGCUCCCGCUGCAUGGUGGGGGUUUGAAAGUUUCGGCGGUUGGGGAUGGACUCGCGGCUUAUCAGCUUGUUGGUGGGGUAGUGGCUUACCAAGGCUUUGACGGGUAGCCGGCCUGAGAGGGUGACCGGCCACAUUGGGACUGAGAUACGGCCCAG
rnacentral:rRNA from 1 species